rnacentral:rRNA from 1 species
AUACGGAGGGUGCAAGCGUUAAUCGGAAUUACUGGGCGUAAAGCGUGCGUAGGUGGAUUGUUAAGUCAGAUGUGAAAGCCCUGGGCUCAACCUGGGAAUUGCAUUUGAUACUGGCAGUCUAGAGUAUGGUAGAGGGUAGUGGAAUUCCUGGUGUAGCAGUGAAAUGCGUAGAUAUCAGGAGGAACAUCAGUGGCGAAGGCGACUACCUGGACUAAUACUGACACUGAGGCACGAAAGCGUGGGGAGCAAACGGGAUUAGAAACCCCAGUAGUCC